rnacentral:rRNA from 1 species
GUAACACGUGAGUAACCUGCCCUUAACUCUGGGAUAAGCCUGGGAAACUGGGUCUAAUACCGGAUAGGAGCGCCCACCGCAUGGUGGGUGUUGGAAAGAUUUAUCGGUUUUGGAUGGACUCGCGGCCUAUCAGCUUGUUGGUGAGGUAAUGGCUCACCAAGGCGACGACGGGUAGCCGGCCUGAGAGGGUGACCGGCCACACUGGGACUGAGACACGGCCCAGACUCCUACGGGAGGCAGCAGUGGGGAAUAUUGCACAAUGGGCGCAAGCCUGAUGCAGCGACGCCGCGUGAGGGAUGACGGCCUUCGGGUUGUAAACCUCUUUCAGUAGGGAAGAAGCGAAAGUGACGGUACCUGCAGAAGAAGCACCGGCUAACUACGUGCCAGCAGCCGCGGUAAUACGUAGGGUGCGAGCGUUAUCCGGAAAUUAUUGGGCGUAAAGAGCUCGUAGGCGGGUUUGUCGCGUCUGUCGUGAAAGUCCGGGGCUUAACCCCGGAUCUGCGGUGGGUACGGGCAGACUAGAGUGCAGUAGGGGAGACUGGAAUUCCUGGUGUAGCGGUGGAAUGCGCAGAUAUCAGGAGGAACACCGAUGGCGAAGGCAGGUCUCUGGGCUGUAACUGACGCUGAGGAGCGAAAGCAUGGGGAGCGAACAGGAUUAGAUACCCUGGUAGUCCAUGCCGUAAACGUUGGGCACUAGGUGUGGGGACCAUUCCACGGUUUCCGCGCCGCAGCUAACGCAUUAAGUGCCCCGCCUGGGGAGUACGGCCGCAAGGCUAAAACUCAAAGGAAUUGACGGGGGCCCGCACAAGCGGCGGAGCAUGCGGAUUAAUUCGAUGCAACGCGAAGAACCUUACCAAGGCUUGACAUGUUCUCGAUCGCCGUAGAGAUACGGUUUCCCCUUUGGGGCGGGUUCACAGGUGGUGCAUGGUUGUCGUCAGCUCGUGUCGUGAGAUGUUGGGUUAAGUCCCGCAACGAGCGCAACCCUCGUUCCAUGUUGCCAGCACGUAAUGGUGGGGACUCAUGGGAGACUGCCGGGGUCAACUCGGAGGAAGGUGAGGACGACGUCAAAUCAUCAUGCCCCUUAUGUCUUGGGCUUCACGCAUGCUACAAUGGCCGGUACAAUGGGUUGCGAUACUGUGAGGUGGAGCUAAUCCCAAAAAGCCGGUCUCAGUUCGGAUUGGGGUCUGCAACUCGACCCCAUGAAGUCGGAGUCGCUAGUAAUCGCAGAUCAGCAACGCUGCGGUGAAUACGUUCCCGGGCCUUGUACACACCGCCCGUCAA